UAUCCCAGGUCAGUUUUUGGGUUCCCCUGUCAGUUUUUUGUUAUCCCAGCCCGGUUUAUUUUAUCCCAGGCCUGUUUUUGGGGUGCCCAUUGCAGUUUUUUGUUAUCCCAGGUUGGUUUUGGUUAUCCCAGCCCGGUUUAGUUCCUCCCAGCCCGGUUUUUGGUUAUCCCAGGCCGGUUUUUGGGAUGUCCAUUGCAGUUUUUGGUUAUCCCAGCCCAGUUUUAAGUUAUCCCAGGUCAGUUUUUGGUUAUCCCAGCCUGGUUUUAGGUUAUCCCAGGUCAGUUUUUGGUCAUCCCAGGUCGGUUUUUGGUCGUCCCGGCCGGUUCAGCUCCCCGCUCACCCUCGGAGAUGGGCCCGAAGGAGCUGAAGUGCUGCUCCAGGCCCUGCUCGUCCGUGUCGUAGUUGAGGCCGCCCACGAAGAGCUUCCCCUCCCCCGCCGCCAUGCGUGGGGGGGCGGCGGCGGCCGUGACGUCAUAGGGCGGGGCCCGGCCCCUGCGGUGACGUUACAACCUGGGGACGCAGCCGUUGUGACGUCAUAACCCCAUCCCCCUUCCCCCAGCAAGGGUUCUCUGAUCCUCGUGACGUCAUACCCUCACCCCCCGCCUGCUGCCUAAUGACGUCACAGCUCACUUAACACCAUCCCCCCCACGCGGCUCCCAGUGACGUCACACCUCCCCUUAGAAACCCCAAAUUUUACGAAAUUCCCCCCGUGACGCCAUCACUGCCCGCCAGCAACACGCGUCCCCUCCUGCUGACGUCACAGAGCCCCUCCCGGCGCCCCCAUGACGUCACCCAUCCCCCACGUGGUUCCCUCCCCUCCCCAGACCCCCCCCCCC
rnacentral:lncRNA from 12 species